UACGUAGGGGGCAAGCGUUGUCCGGAUUCAUUGGGCGUAAAGAGCUCGUAGGCGGCUUGGCAAGUCGGGUGUGAAACCUCCAGCUCAACCUGGAGACGCCACCCGAUACUGCCAUGGCUAGAGUCCGGUAGGGGACCACGGAAUUCCUAGUGUAGCGGUGAAAUGCGCAGAUAUUAGGAAGAACACCCGUGGCGAAGGCGGCUACACUGGCCCGGUAC
rnacentral:rRNA from 1 species